UUCCUACGGGUGGCAGCAGUGGGGAAUAUUGGACAAUGGGCGAAAGCCUGAUCCAGCAAUGCCGCGUGAGUGAUGAAGGCCCUAGGGUUGUAAAGCUCUUUUACCCGGGAUGAUAAUGACAGUACCGGGAGAAUAAGCUCCGGCUAACUCCGUGCCAGCAGCCGCGGUAAUACGGAGGGAGCUCGCGUUGUUCGGAAUUACUGGGCGUAAAGCGCACGUAGGCGGCUAUUCAAGUCAGGGGUGAAAGCCCGGGGCUCAACCUCGGAACUGCCCUUGAAACUGGAUGGCUAGAAUCCUGGAGAGGCGAGUGGAAUUCCGAGUGUAGAGGUGAAAUUCGUAGAUAUUCGGAAGAACACCAGUGGCGAAGGCGACUCGCUGGACAGGUAUUGACGCUGAGGUGCGAAAGCGUGGGGAGCAAACAGGAUUAGAUACCCGAGUAGUC
rnacentral:rRNA from 1 species